UACAUAGGGUGCAAGCGUUGUCCGGAAUUAUUGGGCGUAAAGAGCUCGUAGGUGGUUCGUCACGUCGGAUGUGAAACUCUGGGGCUUAACCCCAGACCUGCAUUCGAUACGGGCGAGCUUGAGUAUGGUAGGGGAGUCUGGAAUUCCUGGUGUAGCGGUGGAAUGCGCAGAUAUCAGGAGGAACACCAAUGGCGAAGGCAGGACUCUGGGCCAUUACUGACACUGAGGAGCGAAAGUGCGGGGAGCGAACAGGAUUAGA
rnacentral:rRNA from 1 species